GCCCGCCUAGCUCAAUCGGAUAGAGCGUCAGACUUUUACGACCGUUCAUUCGAUUGGUGUAAUCUGAAGGCUGCGAGUUCGACCCUCGCGGUGGGCU